AAACUCCCCAGCAAACCUGAGCUGCCGAGGCUGUGUGGAUAGCAGCACAGAAUGGCAGCAACACACUGGUCCUUUUAGAGGUGCAUUCAGCUACAGGAUGCCCACAGAGGGAUGCAGAGAAGUUGAAGCAGCAUUUGCUACUUUCCUGAAGCACAGCUACUUAAGCAGGUUGCACCUGCUCUCAAGGAUACUACCCAAGGAUAAACAUAGAGAAGGCACAAGGCCAGCACCAGAAGUGCUGUUUCCGCAG